rnacentral:rRNA from 2 species
GUCAAAAAAAUAGGUUAAAAUAAUUAAGGGCACACAAAGGAUGCCUAGGUAGUAAGAGCCGAUGAAGGACGUGGUAAGCUGCGAUAAGCCUAGAUAAGUUGCAAUCGAACGUAAGAGUCUAGGAUUUCCGAAUGGAGCAAUCUAUUAAGAUGGAGUCUUAAUACGAAAGAAGGAACCGCGUGAACUGAAACAUCUAAGUAACGCGAGGAAAAGAAAGUAAAAACGAUACCCAAAGUAGCGGCGAGCGAAAUGGGUCAAGCCUAAACCUUAAAUAUGUCAAGGAUACAGCCGUUGUAUUUAGGGGGUUGAGGGACAGAGUAGUGAAGAACUGUAAGAUAUUCAAUAUAGUGUAUUGAUGAAUUGGAAUUGUCUGGAAAGGCGAACCGUAGAAGGUGAAAGUCCUGUACAAGUAAAUCCUUACACAUAUAACUCUGCUCCCAAGUAACAUGGAACACGAGGAAUUCUGUGUGAAUCUGUGAGGACCAUAUCUCAUAAGGCUAAAUACUCUUACUAACCGAUAGCGCAUAGUACCGUGAGGGAAAGGUGAAAAGAACCCCUGGAGGGGAGUGAAAUAGAACCUGAAAUUGUGUGCUUACAAGCGGUCAGAGCCAGUAAUGGUGAUGGCGUGCCUUUUGGAGAAUGAUCCUGCGAGUUACGUUAAACGGCGAGGUUAAGUAUAACGGAGCCGAAGGGAAACCAAGUCUUAAUAGGGCGAUUUAGUCGUUUGGCGUAGACGCGAAACCUGGUGAUCUAAACCUGUCCAGGAUGAAGCUGUGGUAAGACACAGUGGAGGUCCUAACCCACCGCCGUUGAAAAGUUGGGGGAUGAGGUAGGUUUAGGGGUGAAAAGCCAAUCGAACCAGGAGAUAGCUCGUUCUCUCCGAAAUGCAUCUAGGUGCAGCCUUGAGUGUUCAAUUAUGGGGGUAGAGCACUGAAUGAUCUAGGGGGCGUAUUGCUUACUGAAAUCAAUCAAACUCCGAAUACCAUAAUUUAGAGCUCAGGAGUGAGACUAUGGGAGUUAACUUCCAUUGUCGAAAGGGAAACAACCCAGACCACCAGCUAAGGUCCCUAAUUAUAACUAAGUGGGAAAGGAGGUGGAGAUUCACAAACAACUAGGAGGUUGGCUUAGAAGCAGCCAUACCUUUAAAGAGUGCGUAAUAGCUCACUAGUCGAGAGUCUCUGCGCCGACAAUGUAACGGGGCUAAGUUAUAAACCGAAGCUGUGGAAUCCGUAAGGAUUGGUAGGAGAGCGUUCUGUAGGCCGUUGAAGGAGAAGGGUAACUGACUCUGGAGGUAUCAGAAGUGAGAAUGCAGGAAUAAGUAGCGAGAAAGGGGGCGAGAAUCCCCCUCGCCGGAAGACCAAGGUUUUCAGGGUAAAGCUUGUCUUCCCUGAGUAAGCCGGGACCUAAGCCCAGGCUAUAAUGCGUAGGCGAAUGGAAAACAGAUUAAUAUUUCUGUGCCAGUCAUAUAUUGUGAUGGAGGGACGCAGAAGGGUAUGCACGCGGACGAACGGAAGUGUCCGUAGAAGUAUGUAGGAUGACUUGAUAGGUAAAUCCAUUGAGUUAUAUCUGAGGUAUGAUAUACAGUCGUAAGAUGAAUGUGCAAAUCCCACGCUGCCAAGAAAAGCUUCUAACGUUAAUAUUUGACUGCCCGUACUGUAAACCGACACAGGUGGUCAGGAUGAGAAAUCUAAGGCGGACAGGCUAACUCUCGUUAAGGAACUCUGCAAAAUAACCUCGUAACUUCGGGAGAAGAGGAGCCCUUGGGUGUUAGUAUCCAUGCGUUACAAAGCACUCGAGGGUCGCAGUGAAGAGGCUCAAGCAACUGUUUAACAAAAACACAGGUCUAUGCUAAGCUGGAAGGCGAUGUAUAUGGGCUGACACCUGCCCAGUGCUGGAAGGUUAAGAGGAGGAGUGAGAGCUCCGAAUUGAAGCCCCAGUGAACGGCGGCCGUAACUAUAACGGUCCUAAGGUAGCGAAAUUCCUUGUCGGGUAAGUUCCGACCUGCACGAAUGGUGUAAUGAUUUGAGCGCUGUCUUGACGGGAGGCCUGGUGAAAUUGUAUUACCGGUGAAGAUACCGGUUACCUACAGUAGGACGGAAAGACCCCAUGGAGCUUUACUGUAGCUUGGUAUUGGGUUUUGGCAUUGCAUGUAUAGGAUAGUUGGGAGACUGUGAUGAUAUGGCGCUAGCUGUAUCGGAGUCAUCGGUGGAAUACCAACCAUUCAAUGCUGAAAUUCUAAUCUGUGGUUUGUAGCCACGGAGACAGUGCUAGGUGGGCAGUUUGACUGGGGCGGUCGCCUCCGAAAGAGUAACGGAGGCGUUCAAAGGUUCUCUCAGGUUGGAUGGAAAUCAACCAUAGAGUGCAAUGGCAUAAGAGAGCUUGACUGCAAGACUGACGGGUCGAGCAGAUGCGAAAGCAGGACAUAGUGAUCCGGCGAUUCCGAAUGGAAGGGUCGUCGCUCAACGGAUAAAAGCUACCCUGGGGAUAACAGGCUGAUCCUACCCGAGAGUCCAUAUCGACGGUAGGGUUUGGCACCUCGAUGUCGGCUCAUCGCAUCCUGGGGCUGGAGAAGGUCCCAAGGGUUGGGCUGUUCGCCCAUUAAAGCGGUACGUGAGCUGGGUUCAGAACGUCGUGAGACAGUUCGGUCCCUAUCCACUGUAGGCGUUAGAAUAUUGAGAAGACCUGUCCUUAGUACGAGAGGACCGGGAUGGACAAACCUCUGAUGUACCAGUUGUCACGCCAGUGGCACAGCUGGGUAGUCACGUUUGGAAUAGAUAACCGCUGAAAGCAUCUAAGCGGGAAACUAACUUCAAGAUAAGUAUUCUUUAAGAUACCUUCGAGCCUAGGAGGUUGAUAGGUUGGGGGUGUAAGUGCAGCAAUGCAUUUAGCUGACCAAUACUAAUUAUCGUAGUUUUAAUCUAAGUUUGUCUUUACUAUAUAGUUUC